rnacentral:rRNA from 1 species
AUUGAACGCUGGCGGCAGGCCUAACACAUGCAAGUCGAGCGAGCGGCGGACGGGUGAGUAAUGUAUGGGGAUCUGCCCGAUAGAGGGGGAUAACUACUGGAAACGGGGGCUAAUACCGCAUACUAGUGGAUGAACCCAUUUGGGAUUAGCUAGUUGGGGGGGUAAAGGCUCACCAAGGCGACGAUCUCUAGCUGGACUGAGAGGGUGAUCAGCCACACUGGGACUGAGACACGGCCCAGACUCCUACGGGAGGCAGCAGUAGGGAAUAUUGCGCAAUGGGCGCAAGCCUGAUGCAGCCAUGCCGCGUGUAUGAAGAAGGCCUUCGGAUUGUAAAGUUCUGUCGUCGGGGAAGCGUUACCCACAGAAAAAGCACCGGCUAACUCCGUGCCAGCAGCCGCGGUAAUAC